GGUGAGUAAUACAUAUCUAACAUACUCUGAAGAAGGGGAUAGCCGUUUGAAAAAGCGAUUAAUACCCUAUAAUUAGCCCCCCGCAAAAGCGGGGGGCUUGAAAGGAGCAAUCCGCUUUAGAAUUGGGAUAUGGUCUAUUAGCUAGUUGGCGGGAUAAAAGCCCCCCAAGGCGAUGAUAGAUAGCUGGAUUGAGAAGUUGAACAGCCACAAUGGGAUUGAGAUACGGCCCAUAUUCCUACGGGAAGCAGCAGUAGGGGAUCUUCCACAAUGGGCGAAAGCCUGAUGGAGCAAUACCAUGUGAACGACGAAGGUCUUAUUGAUUGUAAAGUUCUUUUAAGAGGGAUAAAACAAGAUGGUACCUCUUGAAUAAGUGACAGCAAACUAUGUGCCAGCAGCUGCGGUAAUACAUAGGUCGCGAGCGUUAUUCGGAUUUAUUGGGCGUAAAGAGAGCGCAGGCGGAUGGAUAAGUUCUGUGUGAAAGGUAGCCGCUCAACGGUUACUUGCGCCGAAUACUGUCUGUCUAGAAUACGGUAGGGAGGUUCGGAAUUGAAUGUGGAGCGGUGGAAUGUGUAGAUAUAUUCAAGAACACCAGAGGCGAAGGCGGAACCUUAGGCCGAUAUUGACGCUUAGGCUCGAAAGUGUGGGGAGCAAAUGGGAUUAGAUACCCCAGUAGUCCACACCGUAAACGAUGGAUAUUUGAUGUUGGGAGUUGAGAGUCUCAGCGUUGUAGCUUACGUGUUAAAUAUCCCGCCUGGGCAGUAC
rnacentral:rRNA from 1 species